UACGAAGGGGGCUAGCGUUGCUCGGAAUCACUGGGCGUAAAGCGCACGUAGGCGGAUUGUUAAGUCAGGGGUGAAAUCCUGGAGCUCAACUCCAGAACUGCCUUUGAUACUGGCGAUCUUGAGUCCGGGAGAGGUGAGUGGAACUGCGAGUGUAGAGGUGAAAUUCGUAGAUAUUCGCAAGAACACCAGUGGCGAAGGCGGCUCACUGGCCCGGUACUGACGCUGAGGCACGAAAGCGUGGGGAGCAAACAGG
rnacentral:rRNA from 1 species